rnacentral:rRNA from 1 species
AGAGUUUGAUUAUGGCUCAGGAUGAACGCUGGCGGCGUGCCUAAUACAUGCAAGUCGAACGAGAGUGCUUGCACUCGAGUGGCGAACGGGUGAGUAACACGUAGGUAACCUGCCUCACAGUUUGGGAUACCCAGAGGAACUUUGGCUAAUACCGGAUAAUGGUUGGAAGGCAUCUUCCGACUCUAAAAGGGGCCUUUAAAGCCUCGCUGAGAGAUGGACCUGCGGCGCAUUAGCUAGUUGGUGAGAUAACAGCCCACCAAGGCGAGGAUGCGUAGCCGACCUGAGAGGGUGAACGGCCACACUGGAACUGAGACACGGUCCAGACUCCUACGGGAGGCAGCAGUAGGGAGUUUUCGGCAAUGGGGGAAACCCUGACCGAGCAACGCCGCGUGAGUGAUGAAGGGUUCCUUCGGAUUGUAAAGCUCUGUUGUAGGGGAAGAACGAUAUGAUGAGGAAAUGCUUCAUAUUUGACGGUACCUUAUUAGAAAGCCACGGCUAACUACGUGCCAGCCGCAGC